rnacentral:tRNA from 1 species
GUUACUAUAGUUUAAUUAGAACAUAUAACUUGUAAUUAUAAAGUUUUGAGUAGCA